AGUCACUGACAUUAGAUACCCCCGUAGUCCCAGCCGUAAACAAUGUGCGUUAGGUGUGUCGGUAACCACGCGUUACUGAUGCGCCGAAGAGAAAUCGUGAAACGCACCACCUGGGAAGUACGGUCGCAAGGCUGAAACUUAAAGGAAUUGGCGGGGAGCACCACAACAGGUGGAGCCUGCGGUUUAAUUGGAUUCAACGCCGGACAUCUCACCGGAUAAGACAGCUGAAUGAUUGUCGAUCUGAAGGUUUUACAUGACUAGCUG
rnacentral:rRNA from 1 species